rnacentral:tRNA from 3 species
GCGCGAUUAGCUCAGGGGGAGAGCAUCACCUUGACACGGUGGGGGCCGCAAGUUCAAAUCUUGCAUCGCGCACCA